UACGUAGGGUGCGAGCGUUGUCCGGAAUUACUGGGCGUAAAGAGCUCGUAGGUGGUUUGUCGCGUUGUCCGUGAAAACUCACAACUCAAUUGUGGGCGUGCGGGCGAUACGGGCAGACUGGAGUACUGCAGGGGAGACUGGAAUUCCUGGUGUAGCGGUGAAAUGCGCAGAUAUCGGGAGGAACACCGGUGGCGAAGGCGGUUCUCUGGGCCUUACCUGACGCUGAGGAGCGAAAGCGUGGGGAGCGAACAGG
rnacentral:rRNA from 1 species